UACGUAGGGUGCGAGCGUUGUCCGGAAUUAUUGGGCGUAAAGCGCACGUAGGCGGCCGAAUAAGUCGGGUGUGAAAGCCCUGGGCUCAACCCAGGAAGUGCACUCGAUACUGCUCGGCUUGAAUAUGGAAGAGGGUUGCGGAAUUCCCGGUGUAGAGGUGAAAUUCGUAGAUAUCGGGAGGAACACCAGUGGCGAAGGCGGCAACCUGGGCCAAUAUUGACGCUGAGGUGCGAAAGCGUGGGGAGCAAACAGG
rnacentral:rRNA from 1 species